GCACAUGUCCUUUUGAGUGGGAAUGCUGAGUCUUAUAUCUUGGGCACACCCCAGCAGAAGAUAAGAACUAGGGCCUGGCCUGAGACAGUCCUAGAAAGCAUGGUGGUGCACGGUUGCCUCAGGCAUAGAAUUCAGGCCCAAACACCUAGGUCCUCUAAAGUAGUUUCAUUCCCAGUUACAGGGAAGGCUGUCAGUGUAAAUUAAUAAACAGCCAGAAUGAAUAUGUCCUUUCUGUUGCAUUUAAGGAUAUACAGAAACUCAGUCUGGACUAGCAAACUGUUGUGUUAUAAUACUCCAUUCAAUGAAUAGAAAGCAUGCAAAAAUGUUCUCUCAAGAGCAUAAAACAUUUGGCUUCAUAGAUAAACGAAAAUCCUCCACGGUCCUGAUUGUACUGUGAAGUUCACUGAUGAUAAAACAACAAAAAGUCCCUUGGUUUCCAGCCACAUUGUCCUGCAUUGCUACAAGUCAAUGGAAUCCUUGUCCCUGAACACUUCCCUUGGUGGACAAACAGCAGUAUUCCUGCCGCCCUCACCCAAGGACCCUCCAUGUGAAAUCCAGCAGCCGCACCUGAAAGGUUCAGGCCUUAUGCUAACCUGCUCCAGCUAUCUGGAAGAAUCCACUCAGGCAGUACCCUAGUCAGCCCAGGGUUCCAUGGGAACUAAUUCUGCACGCAGGUGUAAAGGACCCCUUUAAAAGACAGACCCCUGCCCACUUACUCUCUCUUCUCCUACUUUUACACUCUUACCUUCCUGUCUCUCUUUUACCCUCACUCUUACUGACCGUUCCUCUUACUCUCUCUCCUCUCUUCCUUUCCACCCUUCUCUCUCUCCUCUUGUUUGUUCUUGUCUCUCCCCCU
rnacentral:lncRNA from 1 species